ACUCAUAUCUUGCAGGGGAAAUACCAUGUCAUAAAAGUGGUUUUCCCAGGGGGAGGCUCAUCCAUUGUACUUUGGGUAUCCCUAUGAUUUCCCCAAAUGUAGGGAACUCAACUGCAUAAUUUGUGUUAAUGGGGGAUUGCCCUUG
rnacentral:snRNA from 1 species